UGGGGAAUAUUGGACAAUGGGGGCAACCCUGAUCCAGCAAUGCCGCGUGAGUGAUGAAGGCCUUCGGGUUGUAAAGCUCUUUUACCAGGGACGAUAAUGACGGUACCUGGGGAAUAAGCUCCGGCUAACUUCGUGCCAGCAGCCGCGGUAAUACGAAGGGAGCUAGCGUUGUUCGGAAUUACUGGGCGUAAAGGGCGCGUAGGCGGUUUUGUACGUCUGAUGUGAAAGACCUGGGCUUAACCUGGGAAGUGCAUUGGAUACGGCAAGACUGGAGUGCGAGAGGGGAUUGUGGAAUUGUGCGUGUAGAGGUGAAAUUCGUAGAGAUGCACAAGAACAUCGGAGGCGAAGGCGACAAUCUGGCUCGUAACUGACGCUAAGGCGCGAAAGCGUGGGGAGCAAA
rnacentral:rRNA from 1 species